AACGAACGCUGGCGGCAUGCCUAAUACAUGCAAGUCGAACGAGAUCUUCGGAUCUAGUGGCGCACGGGUGCGUAACGCGUGGGAAUCUGCCCUUGGGUUCGGAAUAACUUCUGGAAACGGAAGCUAAUACCGGAUGAUGACGUAAGUCCAAAGAUUUAUCGCCCAAGGAUGAGCCCGCGUAGGAUUAGCUAGUUGGUGGGGUAAAGGCCCACCAAGGCGACGAUCCUUAGCUGGUCUGAGAGGAUGAUCAGCCACACUGAGACUGAGACACGGCCCAGACUCCUACGGGAGGCAGCAGUAGGGAAUAUUGGACAAUGGGGGAAACCCUGAUCCAGCAAUGCCGCGUGAGUGAUGAAGGCCUUAGGGUUGUAAAGCUCUUUUACCCGGGAUGAUAAUGACAGUACCGGGAGAAUAAGCUCCGGCUAACUCCGUG
rnacentral:rRNA from 1 species